AAAAUGUGUCACGGCUCUCACCAUGCAUUCCAGACGGCCAGGUGUGGUCACCCCAUAGGUGCAAGACAGGGGAUUUAAACCUGGGUCCUUUGUUGUCCUGGGUCUGCUAUACUGCCUUUGAGCCACAGAUCCUGUACUUUUUAGUAGUUCUGGGUGGCUGGACUUCUUCUGUGGCUAUUGCCUGUGCUUCACCUGAGGCAGAUCACUCAUCAGCUGGGUAUAAAACUCUACACCUCCCUGAGAACAUUG